GAGUGUGGGCAAAAGCUCACACUCAGUCCCAGGAUUAAGUUACUAAUCACUUGAUGUUGUCUUAAUUGAAAGGCAGAUUACCCAGCACCACGGCCAAAUCACAGCUCUGAGUGGGGAACCACAUUUGAACAGACUAGUCCCUUCUGCCUUCUGGGCAGGUCACAUCUGAAAGAUUAUCCUCUUUGAAUCAGUUUGAAUGUUCUAGUGACCAGGCCACACAGUUUCUCUUGACAUUUAAAAAUAAAGCUUCCAGUCUUGUCACUAAUGGAUUUGGGGUCCAGUACCCUUAAAAUCACCUCAGAGCUGCCUGAAUCCAUAGACUACUUGCAGAAUCACUGGUUUUACUUGGAUCAAGCCAUCUGAGAAGUUUGGCUGAAAUAAAAACUCAAAGCCCCCACAAUAUUGAACCACCAUUCCAGACCCAGCCAAGGUUUGGAACAUAAAGUGAGCUGAAUGAAUCAGCCUGCAGGCAACCCAGAGAAAGUAAUUGUUCAUCCUAGCAGCACGGCUGCUUUUCUGCUUAGCAUCUGAACAAGUUAAUUUGGAAACACAGCCUUCUGGAAAGAAAUGGCGCUUCUCUCAGCAUCCCAUGGAUUCAUGAGUGGUCUCCAGACACAGGAGAAGAGCGACGGCGAAGAAAGGAAGGAAGGAAGAAAGAAAAGGAGCCUGAAUUUACACUCACCGCUUCAAAAGCCCUUUUGUACUAAGCCAACUUCUCCUGGCUGAAGAUGCAGUAUCUGCCAAGAAGUCGCCUGCAAGAAAGCACACCACACAACAAAAGUAUAAAACAGUCCAUUAAAGGGCUCCUUUUCUACCCA
ensembl:lncRNA C12orf42-AS1 C12orf42 antisense RNA 1